rnacentral:rRNA from 1 species
UACGUAGGGUGCAAGCGUUGUCCGGAAUUAUUGGGCGUAAAGAGCUCGUAGGCGGUUUGUCGCGUCGGCUGUGAAAGCCCGGAGCUCAACUCCGGGUCUGCAGUUGAUACGGGCAGACUUGAGUGUUGCAGGGGAGACUGGAAUUCCUGGUGUAGCGGUGAAAUGCGCAGAUAUCAGGAGGAACACCGGUGGCGAAGGCGGGUCUCUGGGCAACAACUGACGCUGAGGAGCGAAAGCGUGGGGAGCGAACAGG